rnacentral:rRNA from 1 species
GAUGAACGCUGGCGGCGUGCCUAAUACAUGCAAGUCGGGCGAACGGACGAGAAGCUUGCUUCUCUGAUGUUAGCGGCGGACGGGUGAGUAACACGUGGAUAACCUACCUAUAAGACUGGGAUAACUUCGGGAAACCGGAGCUAAUACCGGAUAAUAUUUUGAACCGCAUGGUUCAAAAGUGAAAGACGGUCUUGCUGUCACUUAUAGAUGGAUCCGCGCUGCAUUAGCUAGUUGGUAAGGUAACGGCUUACCAAGGCAACGAUGCAUAGCAGACCUGAGAGGCUGAUCGGCCACACUGGAGCUGAGACACGGUCAAGACUCCUACGGGAGGCAGCAGUAGGGAAUCUGCCGCAAUGGGCGAAAGCCUGACGGAGCAACGCCGCGUGAGUGAUGAAGGUCUUCGGAUCGUAAAACUCUGUUAUUAGGGAAGAACAGAUGUGUAAGUAACUGUGCACAUCUUGACGGUACCUAAUCAGAAAGCCACGGCUAACUACGUG